rnacentral:lncRNA from 1 species
GGGGGGAGUUGAGUCAACUAAAGCUUUAUAUGUUAUGAUUGAUACAUAGAUAAUAGGCCCUUGAUACAAGACUAAGAGCAUGAUUAAUGUAUGUUUCAGUUAGGCAAGAAGUUAGGGAGCAAGAAGAAGAAGCCCCCUACUGCCUACCGUAAAGUUUUGGAGGUGUAUCAGGACCGUGCCGGAUUGGCAGGUGAGUGGGAGUCAUGUACUUUGAACCAUAAGCAUUCUUAAUUUAUUUUCAUGAAUGUCGCCAAGUAUUAAUUGAUUCCACUUGAGCAUAUUGAUUGAUAUUAUAGUAGAUUACUCUAUAAUCUUGUUUCUCCAUGCUUGAUUAUUUUGUAUAUGCAUUUGAGGGAACAUUGAGAGGAAUUACAAGGGGUAGAAGAGUAGUCAAAUUGGUUCCGAAUUGUGAAAUGACUU